GGCAACUGGUGUGUCCAUGUGCUUGUAUUACCUGUCCUACAACCAGGAUGCUAUGGAAAGAGUUUGCAUGCAUCCUCACAAUGUUCUAUCUGAUGUGGUGAACUAUACCCUAUGGUUAAUGGAAUGUUCUCAUGCUUCAGGAUGUUGCCAUGCGACUAUGUUUUUCUCAAUUUGCUUCUCAUUCCGGGCUGUCUUGGAGCUGUUUGACCGUUAUGACGGUCUUCGUCGGCUGGUGAAUUUGAUCAGUACUUUGGAGAUUUUAAAUUUGGAAGACCAGGGUGCACUUUUGAGUGAUGAUGAAA
rnacentral:lncRNA from 1 species